GAUGAAGAACGCAGCGAAAUGCGAUAAGUAGUGUGAAUUGCAGAAUUCAGUGAAUCAUCGAAUCUUUGAACGCACAUUGCGGCCAUAGGUAUUCCUUUGGCCAUGCCUGUUCGAGCGUCAUUUACACCCUCAAGCCUAGCUUGGUGUUGGGCGUCUGUCCCGCCGUUCUCGCGCGCGGACUCGCCUCAAAGUCAUUGGCGGCGGUCGUGCCGGCCCCCUCGCGCAGCACAUUUGCGCUUCUCGGAGGCCCGGCGGAUCCGCGCUCCAGCAAGACCUUUCACGACUUGACCUCGGAUCAGGUAGGGAUACCCGCUGAACUUAAGCAUAUCAAUAAGCGGAGGA
rnacentral:misc_RNA from 1 species